GUUGGCUGUCCCAGCUGCUCCCAGUGGGUCAGAAGCAGGAGCUCACAGCGAUGUGCCAUCCAGCUCUGAUAUGCACCACCAAACAUGACCUCCCCUGGCAGAGGCUCUCUUGCUCCCUUGGCUGGGACGAAGUGCUGUGGCCACAGGCAUAUGGGGCACACUGAGACAAACCGAGCAGCUUUUUGAGAAUGUCCUGAGACCCUUGGCAAUGGAGAGAGAUUGCAGUGCAAGCACUUUUCUGGAUUACUCUGUCACUGAUGUCAAAUCAAAGCAUCAAGGAUAUAAAUCUUCAGUAAACAUCUGGCCUCACUUCAGCCAGGUUAUGCAAUGCCUCAAGUACAUUCAGCAGCAGAUUAUGCUGCGUUCUCCUUUUGUGCAAUGCAAGCUAAUGUGAAUAUCAAGUCACAUCAGUGGUCUAGACAAGUAGUUGGGAGAUAAAGACAGCAACUCAAACCGGGAAGUUUGGCCUCUCAGGGCACGUCAAGGGAAAACUGACAUGUCACUGAAGACCCAGAAAGAAAGAAUGCCGGAGAAGAGGUAAAUCAUAGAAAAGCCUAAGCAUCACCUCUGCUCAGAUGGAAGAAGAAAAAAAGAAAAAAAAGCCAGACCCAAACCUUGCCCACCUGGGCAUCCUGCGUGGGAUGGAAUCCAGCCCUGCACUGCCCAGCAAUGGGUCUCCUCUCUGCUUUGUGCAAAGGAAGAUUAAGCAGAAGGGAUAAGAAAAGACAGGGGAAAAAAAUGCAUUUCUUUGCAGUAAACACAGCCUGCAGCCAUCGGUUUCUCUCAGCAUUGGAUGGCAAUUAUUUCUGUGUAAUAAGCAGUCACCCGAUGACCCUCCCCUUCAGCUUGCAACGCUUCUGCUGUCAAGUGUUAAUCCCUUUGUUAGCUACUCAGCUGCACAUUCAUUUAGGAGGACUAAUGACUUACACUGUUCCUUCUCUGCACGAUUUCAGCAGACGUGUAAUUAGAGGUGAAUGGCAGCUUCAGAGGUACGGCUACCACUGGGGCCGGGGGCAAAGUCAAAGUGUUUGUCUGAUUUCACCAUGGGCUGUUUCAGUGAGUGAAACCAUGUGGGCGGCUGCAUAUGGGGGGGAAAGGAAGUAGGAAAGGAGAAGCCAAAAAAAAAGAGAAAGGAUAAGAGUCAGUUGUUGGGCAUUUGGGGAGCUCGGAUGUGAAAACGAACGUGUUUCCAAAUAUUUCUUUGUUGGGGUGUGAGACUGAGCUGAAUGCCAGCGAGGAGCCUGUUGGCACACAGACUGAGAAGGUACCGAAAGGUGAAAAGCUUUGUUUCAAAGUGCUGGAGAUCCGUAGUCGUUAGCAGAGUGAGUGUGAGAGCCAGAAAGUGAUUAAAAAAAGCAAGUAUUUUGAAGGUGAGCUGAGGAAGUGCUCGCGUGCCUCCGCAGUGCCUUACAGAAUGCAGCCUCUAGUUUUUUUUUCCUAAGUGAAAGCCAUCUCUGCAACACCUCGAGAAACAUCCUGCGGCUCUUACACCAUGGGAAGAUGUCCUUUUGAAGUGCAAGUGAAUCCCUGCGUAUGUAUUAACAUCACAGGAUGGAGUAGAAAAGUAUAACAGGGAGCUGAGGUCCUGAUGGAUUUCAGCGCUGAAGAGGAACUCGAGCAGCCUCAGAGAUGACACACGUUGGGCUUCCAUCUCCCCAGCAAUGCAGCCGUGUCGCCACUGUUGCUGUGCAGCCGGCAGGGACAGGACACGGUGUGGCUGACAGCCCUGGGGAUGAGGACAUCCAGUUCUGAGGGACUUGCGGUCUGCUGGUAAGCAAACACACUGUCUGGCAGUGCUCAGUGGUGUCCUUCUGAAAAACCUUGUGUGCAAUUACAUGGCUCACAGCUACACACAGGUAGAGCCGGGUGAACACCAUUUCUCAUCUAUGUAUUCCAAGAGCAUCAGUGGAGCCCAUCCUCACUGUAUGCCUCCAGCAUGGGAGGGAGAGGGUGAGUCGACCCCGUUUGAUUUGAGCUGUAAUGAUCAUCAUGAGGGAAAAAAAAAAAUGCACUAAAGGAAGCGAAGCUUGCUGUAGCUUGCGUCUGUACAGGGAGUGAGUAUGUAUAGUUUUGUAUAUCAAUUAUCCAAUUGAUAUAAUUGGAUUGAAGUUUGUUGGAAACUUAGCCCAGACUCAGUGAAAGGUUCACACAACCUUAGACCAAGCAGCUUUGCGUGGCUCAGGUUUAAUUAUGAAUGGUUCGCUCAGCCUCAGUAAUGACUCAUAUUCACUAACUAUCCCUUCUAUGAGAUGUGACAAAAGUGUAUUUCAGAGAUGUGAAGCAUAAUUAUUUAAUGAUGAAGUAAAGUUGAUUAGGAAGCCUUUAAGCUAUUAGGCUCUUGGUAGGGUAUUCUGCAGUCACUGAAUAAAUGAACAUAAUUUAAUUCUUAAAAGCUCUACAGCUCCUGCUGGCCCUGAAAAUGAUAUGUAGCUAACAAGUCAGGUUUUCUCCCAUUAUAGAAUUCUAUAUGCUACAACAAAGAGCAUACAGAAUUCAGUGCAAUGCUGGGGAAAACUCUUCUUAGUGACUACGCAGGCUAAAAAUGAUAGAACUCACGUAUGCAGUAACAAUCAUGAACCUGACAAAUCAAGCUUGUAAGCCUGUGGUGUGAUCUGAAAACCUAACAAGCUCCCAGGAAGGAUCUCUGGUUUAAAAAUACUUUCUGGAUUCUCUUUUUUUCCCUUUUUUAAUUCUUCAUGAGAUGUGCAAGACAGAACAGCAAGAGACCAGCAGGCAAAUGGCUGUGCCAUCAGAAGGGUAUAUUUAUAUAUUAUGUAGCUGUGUUCCAAUUAUGAAAUUGAUCCCUGGAUAGAAAUCCCUUAAGGGUGGCUAUUAAUGAGAUUGCCUGCUCUGCGUGCAUCCAGUAAUAAGAUUAGGUAUGCAUUUAUCCUGAGCAGAGAUAAACCAGCGACAAGUUUGUGCCAAGAUAAGACAGUUUUGGAAGGCAAUUAAACAGGGGACAUAAUGUGUGUGCAUAUGUCUGUGGGAGGUUGCAGGAUGGAAAGGCUCAGUUUUCAUCUGCACAAGUGCUUCUGAGUGUAACAGGUAGGGAAACAGGCUUUUCACAGUGGUGAGAUGAAAUCUGAGCUUAAAUAGUGAAAUACUUGAAUUCAGAGUGCACUAGUCAGUUCUUUGGAAUGUGCACACUGGCCUUCUUGGCUUCUGCCCCACUUCCAGGAAGCCUGGGAACACCCUUGGGGGUGCAUCGGGGGCAAAGUUUCUCCAUCUUACACUGUUAUCACUUCCUCUCUUGCUCAGGAUGUUUUUUGGCUGUAACAUCCCCAGUAACUGGUGUGGGCAGGGUGCAGAGAAGCCUGAAUCCCUGCCCAAUCAGAAUUCACUCCGGUACAUAAUCUGAUGUGAGCUUGACUUGUUUAUGUAUUACCAGAUUAAUUAAAUGGACCUCAGAACGCUGCCUCUGCUUGCCACCCUUCGUAUGUCUGAACUGGAGCCCAUCAGUCAGCCUCUGUUGGUGCCGCUGGAACACCCGGGCAGCGCUCGGGACAUCAGACAAACCUGUGGGAGGGGAAGACAGUUACAGUCUGAUUUUUGGAUGCUUGAGGUGAAGAAACAGGCUCUGCCCGUGCAGUCACAGAUGGUAAGGCUGUAGGGUUUUAAAAUACACACUAAAUCAGUAUUCUGUCCUCUCUGAGGCGAGUGUGUCAGCAGCGUGUAGGAAACGUGACUGGGAACUCUAGGAUGUCACUGCAUACUUUUAAGAGCCUUCUGGUAAGAAGUUGCCAAAAGCAUAUGGUCUCUAUUAAUAAGGAUAUUUAGCAUUUUUCUUCCUAAUUUAUUCACGGGUAAUUAUUUGCUUACCUAGCUUGAAGUGGGCUGGAAUCCAGCUCUUAUCUGUUGUGGAAAGCUGUCACACUUCCCUCUGCCUUUCUCCAGCCCUCACUUGAGAGCAGCUAUGCAUCUGGCCAAGCAAAGCUGCCCUGCUCCUUCUCUCUUCUAAUAACUCAGAGUCUUGCCUGGCCAUUACAAACUUUAGUUUCUAAAAGCGGUGUGAAAAGUACUUUUCAAAGUACUGUGACAGUAAGAAAUAGAUUCGGCUGCUCCUCCUGUUGGCUGCCUGCUCCCUGCCAGGACAGCUGGCUCUUUCCAGGUCUGUGCCCACAUCACUGCAGUGCCAGAACAUCACCUAACCAACGCUUCAGAGACUCCGUUUUGUCCCACCUCUUCUGUUGCUGCGUUCAAAUGUUAAAGAAAAUAUAAAGGAAAAAAAAACACCUCCCUCAGAAGUUUUCAUCAAAGGUUUACUGGUCAGAGCCCGGGCUCUGUCUCAAAACUCUGCUGCUGUUCUUUCUAUGCGUAUCCUUCUUUCACUGCUCCCUGCAGUAAUCAGAAUCCCAAAUGCCUUCUUUCUGAUGAGGAUUAAGCCAUGACCUGCACAUGAUUGCAGGAAAUAAGCCUUUAAAAUAUGCCCAAAUGCACCGCUUGUUUGAAGUCACUGAUCCUUAAAAUAGAUGUCUGAAAAAAUGUGUAAUUUCAAAUGCUUCUGCAGAUAUUGUUCCAGUAUGUGUAACAAGGGGUCGCAUCAAGCCAACUUACAUCAGUUGUGCUCCAUUAUAUCACGAACUGAGCAAAUGGAUCCAAAUAUACAGUAAUACUUCAGCUGCUAAUGAAAGCCUUGUACAGUUCCUUUCUCUAGAUACCUCUAGCGAGAUGGUGAGAAAAUACCUGAUUUCUUUCUUUUCUUUUUCAGGGACCUUAUGAGAUACUGGUCAUGAAGUGCCAUCAUGGAAACCUCUGCAAGAAGCUCAAGCUUCAGGAAUCCUAAGGUACUAACUGUCGUUUAUAGGUCCUGUUCCUCUCACUGGUGAAGCUCUUUUGCUAUCAUUUGAUGUAUCGAAUACAUGGAUAGUAGUAGAACAGUAUUGUUCCCUCCUCAGUCUCAAGGCAAAACAUAACUUGGUCCUAUUUAAUAUUAAUUUAAUGUUAACAAAAUCAAGAUAAGUUCAGAAGUUUCACCUUGACUGAGGUUCUCAGCUCUCAUGCUUGUGUGCAUACGAACUGCUGAGAAAAACAUAUCAGGCUUUUCCACAGCGAUGAUCAAAGAAAAAUCACAAAUGCAGUGGACUUCAAAGCAAAGGGGCAACGGCCCAGCCUUCACUCAGUCAGCGUGCACAAAAUGGAAGGGCCCAUUACCUGUAGAUGGGAGAGGAGCAGAGCUAAGCCGCAGGUAGGUUUGUAUUUGAUAUCAUCUACUGACAGUGACGGGUCACAGCCUUGCCACAGCUGAAGGCUGUUGAGGGCCACCACAGAGCCUCCCAGCAGCAGUUCAGAUGCUGCAUGCUAUUUAUUUGCAUGCAAUUGGAAUCCACCCUACUAGUGUGCAUCGCUGACAGAUAGGAGGAAAGGAUUCACUGCAAGCACUGAGCCAGCACCGACAAGCCGGGAGGUGAAAACUCAGGAGCUUCACUGAAGGCAGCUGAAGCCUCCACUGCUGCAUAUUGUGGUGCCUGCAGAGUCACAGAGAAAUAAAUCUUGGUUAAAUUUUUGAUGAGCUUUCAGCUGCUGUAAAUAAUUAACUAGGGCCUCUCUCGUUUGAACACGGGUGCAACUUUUCAUGUUUCAAACGCUUCCUGCCUCAGUCCCAGGGGAUUGCUCAAGUAAUUCAGGUCAUUCUUUCUUUUAUUUAUUUGCAGCAUCACCGGUCCAAACAAAUUUUGAACUUUCAAGCUGGGAAGGGAGAAAGCAUUUUCUUCUUGAUUUUACUCCAGGUAAAUCCCCAAGGGAGCACGUGUCUCAUUUGCAGUAGUUGAAUAAUAGAGAUUGAUGGGUUAAUCAGUUCCCAUACCAUUUAUGGAGUAAUGCUGUGCGCUCAUAGAUGAAGUCUUCAUGUUUCUCAAGUCUGCUGUUUCAAAGAUGAGAGCACAGGACAGCUUCAUACAGACAGAUGCACUAAGGAGAGCAUCCCUGUGUGUCCCCCCCAGCUAAAGCACAUUGGGCUGAUCCCGCUUUUGACAGUGCGAGUACUGAAGUCAGUCCUGCAUCACCACCAGGUAAGCAGCACAAAAAAUGAGGUCUGAAGAACAACUGAUUUGUCCCUUCAUUAGGUGUCAAAAGGAGCUUGGAUAUUGUUUUAGGUGGAAACUCAUGCAUAGAUGAAGUGGGUGUAAACUGUAUUAAAUAUUGGAUUCAAACUCCAGAUUAGGGGUUUUGAUGUCCUAUCCCAAGACUUUAAUGUCUAAAUUGAACUACUAAAAUAGCUCCUUCCUCAGGACUCCAUCCUGUCCCGCUUAGUUCUAUACCCACACACAAUAGGUCACCUACCACUACUGUGGUCUGAGGCUGAUUUGGAUUUACUGCAGUGUCAUACUUUCUGUUUCAAUGCCUAUUGAGUAUGAUUUAUUACAAUGACAGACCACACUACUGUUUGCAAUGCAGGCCGAAUGCAUUCCCACUUUUUAAUACAGUUUCUCACAUCAUCUCCAGCAUUUGAGAGAAUGUAUAUUUAUUUUAAUCACCGUGUACUGAAUAUGUAAUUUUUUUCCUAGGUAAAAUUUCCCUUUAAUAGAGGCUGGGUUAUGAGAGAGCAAUUAUUUGAGUUAUGUGCACAUUACAGAAUAAUUUAACAUCAGCUUUUGGGUCAAUCUUUUUUAAUUAUCUAUUUUAUCAACUGGUUUUGACUAGCAGUUUAAAUAAUUGUGUUUGCCUAAUAUCUGGAAAUGUAAUUGCUUUUAGACAUCCUUUAUUCCAAUCCUGGUGUUGUUACCGUCUUGCAUACGGUGCAUGUUGGCACCUGUCUGUGCAGUGACAGAUUUGUGGUGACAGCUUAUAUAACUUAUUUAUAAAAUGAUGAAUUAUUUUUGAAUUUAACUUCAAGUUCACAGACUGGAAAAGUGGAGAAACACCUGCUUGCUGCAGAGGAUCUGCUAAGGAAGUCCAAAGGGAAACUAUGCACAGAGGGGAAGAGCACAGGCCAAGUGAAACAGAACCAUGUGGGUCAUCGUUAUGCUGUUCCAGGUAGGACUGUGGAUACCAAAGCAGGGAUGGGGUGACGGGGUGACCGAAGGAACAAAGGAACAGGCCCACAACCACAACAUCAUAGCAGGAAUUUUACUUACCUUCAGCCUCAAGAGGACAGAGAUUGAGGGGAAUGACAAAGAGAAACAAAAGAUAAGAACUUUUCCCAGGACAAAGGGAUGUUACUAUUUAUGAACCUGCAAGAGAAUUAGAGCUGAAAUACUUAGACAGACAAAAAAAAAAAAGAGAGAGAUUUUAAUUAAUGAUGAUAACUCUUAGAAAAAGAACCAGAUUGCCAGCCCUGAAAACUGCCAAUUCUUUUUAUCCACAAUGUAUACACAACCUUGGGGAGGCUGCUGCUAAGAGCCCCAGCACAGGACAUUGCCCUGAGCUUAGAGAAGUCCAACAUCUCAGUGGUCACACGCUUUGGCUUUUGCUGCAGCUGCACUUUGCAACAUGAGUAGCUGUGCACUACAUCAAUUCCAUGAUACAAUCAGAUCCGUUGACAUGGGCAAUUUGUCCCUAAUGACUUGAGUCAGCCUACAAAGGUUACCAAGAAUCACAAAUCCUACUCAGAUAAACGUAGAGUAGCAUAUGGUCCAUUCAAGGACCAAACCUAAGGAAGUCAUGGUAAAUGGAUUACCAGGCCCUUCUAAUACCUAGGGACAUUCUUAUUUAAAAAUAAACUAUAAAAAUAAAGAAAAAUGGCUCCUCAUUCAGAUCAAGUCAUUUUGGUUAAAUUCCUAUUAUCCUGUUUAAACAGCAUCCUUUUAUCCCAGUUUUGAGGAGCAUCAUAUCUGUGGGGGCCACGAGGCACAGAAUUUGGCAAAGCACCAACUGCAGAAUUUCUUCCUGAGUUAGAAGAGAGGGGGAGGGAUUGUAUUUUUUUAGUUGUUAAUACAUUCUGGAGCAAUGAGGUGUUAGCAGAAGCCUUUCACCAUCUCCCUCGACAUCCUGUUCCCCACCCCUCUGCAGCUGGAUGGGAACUCACCUCCCAGCAGUUCUAGGCAGACAGACUGGGGUAACAAAUCCCCUGGUAGAAAGAAAUGCAAUCUGACUGAUCCCUGAAAAUGUAAUUUCUAGUUCACGGGGGCUAACAGAUGCAGGUAGCUCAAGCUAAAGCAGAAGGGUACCACCUCACCACAGCUUUCUUACGGGAUGGAAAAGCAGUGAUCUUUACUACUGGAGACUGAUAUUGCAUAGAUUAAGUCAAAUGUAUCAACUUCACUUUAACAUGAGUGUUUCUAUUACCUGGGUCAGAGAGUCUGUGCAGUCACUCUCCAGAACCCGCUGUUAUUAAUUCAGCAAUUAUAGCUUUAUGGUGGCAGGGAUUCCUCGGUGUUUGAGCUGGCGCUGGAAAGCUGUAAUUCUGAAUGGAACAUGACAUGAAUUACUGGAUUGCUGUAAUUCUUCAGCUUUUCAUGCAUUUUCACUGCAUAUAUUAAAAUACAGCAAGCAAUUCACUUUUAAUUAUGUAAAUUCCAAGACAGUAAGACAAGAGAUGGAUGAGUUUUUAAAUGCCUGCUCUGCCUGACCACCUGUGGUUAGCACAGAAAGCCAUGGGCUCAGCAGGUCACCCUGCCCUCCGCACUCCUGCUCUCCCGGCUGUGCACAACACCGCCUCUUUUUAGUAUUCAGCGGUACUUCGAGAGCAAAGAGCACAGGAAAGAAAUGGCCAGAGGGGGGCUGGGAAAAGUCAGAUCCUGUCCACCUGCCUCCCUCACUUCUCUGGGUUUCCAAACAGACGAUACAUCACUAUUCUGACAUCAACAUAAGACCGCAAGGGCUGCAGAUAUUUACUGCUCUCUUAUUUGGCAAUUAUCUUCUCAAUGUUGAGAUGUUAUUAACAACUUCACCAGAAUAUAUGAGUCAGGAUCAUAAUUCUACAGCUCUAUGCCUGGCUUCUUUGCUGGUCCUUAGCAAAGCUCACGGCUGCAACCAGCAGCACGUCCAUGCACAAAUGUGUGCAGUUAUUGUAAAGGAGAAAUAGGUUACACCGUUCUCAAAGACAUUGUUUUUAAAUUGUAAGAUUCUGAGUGCAAGUAAUGAUGGCUUGUUAAAAGCCUAGUGACUGUAUCUAAUAGCUGCAGUGUUUGGCGCUGUAAUUACAGUAGCAAGAGAUUGCUGAGCACGUGUAAAAAAGGAAUAAUUGGGGUAGCAGCAACGCAAAAGCUUCUCUGGGCCUAAAGCAACUGUUAUUUUGCCCUCCCACUGAUGUGCCACUUAACGAAGCUACAAUGGUUGGAAACGAGCUCUCUUUGCAGUUAAGUUGGGUGUUUUCUGUUUAGGAGCCCUACGGCUUCACCCCCAGUACCUCCGCAGCUCAGGACGCAGAGGUAAAAUUACACAAACGCUUAUUGCCUUGCCCUGCGAGAAUACAUCUGCCUCUCCUCCCUAGAGGCCAGGGAGAACUUUCAAGCAAGCAAAUUAGCAAUGCAAAUCUACAGCGACCUCUCCGAGGAGAGAGCACUGCUGUGCUCUGUUCUUCACGUUAGUAUUUCCAACCCUGGUGGACACUUUCCAUUUUCUCUAAUCUCUUCAUCCUCUUUUCCCCACCUAGGGACGUUUCUUUGCACAUCUCAGUCUUGCUUCUCUAAAGGUGGUUUCUUGCAGCUUCAUCAGCAGCUAUUCUGUCUGCUGGAGUCUUCUGCUGCUUUCCUGUGUGCCUAUUGCAGAACUGCAAAAGAACACCAUCUUCCUGAAGUAGUAGAUGGAGUGCAUUUCCAUCCUGCUCUUGGCAUUGCUAUUACAAGCUUCACUUGGAUGUGGCAUGUGCCCCCAAACCCUGGAAUUCAGCCUCAUCCCCAAGCUUUUUGAACCUCUCUGCUCUGUUCUGGCAUACCUAUUGAUCACAUCUAUAUAUCUAGCCAGAAGCGAACCUUACCUUCACCCCUAAAGCUCCUGCAGAAACCUCACUUGUUUGUUAGUCAGCUGCUUUCCUGGGUCACUGCGGGUCUUUUCUAAAAAUCGUGUGCAAUUUUACCGCUCGCUGAGCGAAGAACAGAACUACCUGCCUUCCACAGAACUACCUGCCUUCCUUCUUUACCUGCUUUGCUUUCACAGAGCAAUGCCUUUCUGGGCAGGGAUGCUACCGCAUCAGGCACUUACCAACAAGUAUCACCAUGUUCCCUACUUCUACUCCCAAGCCAUCGCAUGACUUCUCUCAGUCUCAGCGUGAGACAAGCCUGAUUUGAGCCAACAAAACAUCCGAACACAUGUUCCUCUAUGAAUUCAUCAGCAGAAAAGGCUGAGACCCCAGAACUAAACAACUGUGGUACUCUUCCCACUGCAGUAGGAAAAGUACCUCUUGCUCAUUGUGAGCAGUCGCUGGAAACUUUUCUACGUUCCAGUACACAACAGGAAAAGCAGACACUGUGUUUAUAACCAGAAGGAAAAGAAGAGCGCAAAAGGAGCUGCUGGCUGUGGGACUGAGGGAGUUCUUUCAAAGUAUAAAACGAAGCACAAGACUUGUGCAGAUCCUUCUGUAGUAUCCUGCUGUUGUGUAGCAGUGGCAGUUGCAACUCUUAACAUUAAUUCUGCAAUACACAUCUGCUGCUGGUUCCACCAACCAAAGACUGUGUAAAGAUCACCUUGCAAUGAGAAUCAGUUUAGCUCCAUUUAUUUCUUUAACGUCAGUGGAAUCACAGAGAUCACUUAUAACCUUGCAUGUUAAGUAAAGCAAUUAAUUGCACUACUGCACCAGGUUUAGACAUGAAAGGCAGACUUAAUAACAGGUUUAAAGAAAAGGCUUAGAGUAGGGGUUCAGAAUGCAGAAUAAGGGUUAGUGACAGCUAAUACCAGCCUGUAUAUAGAGAGCAAGGUUAAUAGUUGGCUUAAAGAUUGCUCAGAUCAAUAAAAGAACAGCACAAUGUACAUAAUAUGGGAGCUCAAUAAUAUUUGUUUCCAUCAGUGUUUUGAUGGAAACAAGUGGCAGAAGCACCAAGACUGCCCCUUCAUUUAAAGCAUGGUUUACAUGUGCAUGCUGGCUGCCAGACUGGAAACAUCCACUUCUGGCCUCGUCUCGGGGGGCUUCCCAUGCAGCUGGUAGAGAGCAUGGGAUGCAUUUCACAUCAGACUACAAAGGCAUCUGUGGAGCCUGGCUCUGACAAGGUAUCCUCCAACCAGACAUCAGUGCGGGGUGGGAAUGGCCCCGUACUGCCAAGACACGGAGGGUCUGGAGCCUGGGGUGGACUGAAGAAAUGGGGUCUGGGUUAACAGCAUGGCUGGAGUAACUGGUGGGUACAAUAGGGCACAUAACACUUUUUGCAGAGGUCUGAAGGUGAACUGACAUACAGCUCUCAUUUUCAAGGAACAUGGGAGGCCUAUUUUGCUUAUUGCUGAAAGAAAUGUAAGAAUGUUUGAAUUUGAGGCGCCUCAAUACCUUUUUAAUACCUUUGUUCUUAGCGUUCUUAACACCUGCUUAGAGCGAGCAGAAGUGGAGGUUGGCAGGGAAAAAUUAGCAAUUGCCCACCCAUCAUUCAUUUCCCAGGCUGUUCCCAGGGCACAGCAAUUAUGCACUUCACCUCGCUCAGGACAGGCUGUAAAAUCUCGGUAUUGUCCUUAAGUGCUAAAUCAAAGCAAGCAAAAAACGGUAAGUAAAUGUUUCCCACGCAACUGCUGCCCUUUGUAAGAAAACUAUUGAACUGAAAAUGAAAGGCAUCCAUAGGUACAUAACCAACGUUUCUAAUUUUACUUGCAGUGAUCCAAGGCGCUGUUUAAACAGCGAUGCUAUUACAGAUUUACUUAGCUGGUUUCUUUCUGAGUGCACCAGAACCCUGAUCCUUGCAACAAAGAAUGCCAAACAAAGCAGCAUUAGGCAAGUUACUGUGAAACGAAGGCAUAUUUGCACAGCAAUAGAAAGAUCUAAAUGGGACCAUAACGAGCAACCAAAUAGUAACGAAGUUGAGGGCAUUGCUUUGUAGGAAACAAGUGGCUAUUCUGAACCCUGAAGUGCCAAAUGUACUGAAUCACAAGAGCUCACUAAAAUGAGAGCAAACAUCUCAAUCCCUUCUGAGUAUGUACAAAUAUCAAAGCGAUUUGGGGCUGUUAACCUCCUCAGCUCGGUGACGGUAUCUUCACCAUCAGCGCACAGCACUUCCCUGUUCACAAACUGUCCGUAUAAUGGUUCGGUUUGACUGCAGCGCAAUGCAUGACUGAGGGGACGUUAAUAUCGAACAACUCUGAGUAGCUCAGCACCAAGGAUGAUUUAAAUAAAACAGAAAGUAAAGGAAGCAACACUACCCUUUGUAUCUGACAAUGUAGAGGGCGAAGUCGUGCCCAAAAUAUUUGGAUUUUUGUUUUCACAUGGAUUCCAUUGCUCCCACCUUCCUAAAGAGCCGAACAGUUUUAAGUGUACUUCCUUUGUUUCUGCUGCUCUGUCCUCUCUAGUUCCAAAGCUACAGCUGAAGUGCAUCCAUUCCCCCUCCCCUGCUCUGGCAUCCCAGCAGGACGGCAGCCAGGUCUCCUGCCUGUAUGCCUCACCGUGUCAGCUCAAUUCCUCCCCCUAGAAACUGCCUUCCAGUUUGCUGAAUGUUCGGGGACACAGAUAAAUUGUAAAGUGGUCAUGGAAAUAUAAGAAGCAAAGAUAUCUUUCUUUCCAGAUUAGAUAAUUAUCCACUGAGAGAGGAAAUAGCAACAACAAAACGGCUUCAAAUUCUUCUGAACAUAAUUGAGUCUUUUAAGAAAUACCCCAACACCUAAACAGCCAUUUCUUUACUUGGAGGAGGGGAAAAUGCCAUAAAGCUUAAGGAGCAUUUUGUUCGGGAAAUCACAUCUUUCCCUAUUUUGCAGCUGACACAUUGCAUUGCAGAUCUGUCACAGCACAUUACCUCGGUGAUGUAACGUAACGCAACACUGCUGAUGCGACCCAAUCCGAUGUGUCCAACGUGAUACAUCAGCUACAAUAUUUGAAAAGCUUUCUUUCUGAAAACAACCUGUAUAGAAGGGACUCCUCUUUACCAAUUAAAAAAAAAAAAGCCUUCCCAAAGAAUUGCAUCACCGGGAGAUAAUUGCUUUUUCACAGGUAAUUAGCAAAUACAAUUAGUUGUGGGAAAAGUUUGCUUUUCAGCAAUUCACACCAAAAAAAAAAAAAAAAAAAAGGUGAACAAAAGAUGACUGCGGCUGACAAAUAACCGCUUCCCAUGGCACCAGCUGAACCCACCCGAGUAGCAGCGGUUACAGGGUCAGAUCACACCACCACCGGACUCACUUUCUGUUCCCCACCAACACUCAGAGGAUAACCAGAAGUUCACCUUGUGAACUCUUCACAAACUGUCUGGCAGCUGAUUUUGCUCACCUGUGCAGUCGAUGUUAAUCACAGAAUCAAACAAAGAUACACCUCUCAGCACACGCCAUGGGAAGCUCUGCAGAUGCUUUGAGGACUACCUGCAGUCCUGCAGAGAAUUGCUGGAUUUUCACAGACAGGAGGACACGGUCCAUGUCACCAUGAUCAGAUGAAUACUAAGGAUCAAUGGCCUUAAAUAUUCUACUGGAGUGGCAGUGGUAUUUGUCAGCAGAGGAGACUUCAGCUCAAGCAAAUGACACCUUACCGCAUUGAUGGCAGCCAUCCAGAAAGCAACAACCACCCCUCCUCCCUCUAUCACUUGUUGGAGGGCAAAUGAAAGCUAACCUCACAGAACAGCCUGGGUUGGUGGAGGGCAUCUCAAAGAGCACCCAGUUCCAACACCUGCCAUGGGCACGGCCUGCCAACCACUCCAUCCAUCACUCAGUCCCCUCAAACUGCCAGUGGCUGCUAUGGAGGGCUUCAGAUGCUGAAGCAGCCAUCCCCCCACGGCGCUCCCUUUCCCUUCCCCACCCAGCGCUCCAUGUGCAGGCUGCCAGCAGCAGGACUGGGGCGCAGACAGGGCGCCAGGCCCUUCCACUCACUGCUUAGACUGAUUUUUCAAGUGUAAAAUGUAAUUCAAAUCUCCAUAAAAAGCUAUUUGCUCCCUAGCCUCGCAAUUCUUACACCACGUUUCAACCGUGAAAUCCAAUUGGAAAAAAAAAAGAAGCCUUAUGUUCAAGGUCUGAAAAUCCUGCAAGAGCCUUUAGCUCUCAGACUGAAUUGUAUCUUAAACGCCAUCUGACCAGUUCUGUCUCUUUCCUCUGAUGGGAUGGCGUGGUGCCUGGUCUCUAAAAGCCUGAUCCUGAGAGCUGGGCACCCCCCAGACCUAAAUUCAGGUACUCGUGGGCUAUGUGUCCCUCCACAAAGCUGUUGUAACAACAGAAUCCAAGCUGAGCUUUCUCAAGUUUGAAAAUAUGGCCCAAAAUGCAACUGUGCAAAUUAAUCUCUGAAAUUCAGAGCCCAUGCUGCCCAGCUGUGAACGCCGCAGUAUCACAACCCCCUCUGUACCAUAUACACACGUAUUUCCAGCCCUUCCAGAUGCACUGCUGCUCUCCAUGCUGAGGCAAUUCAGCAGAGAGCACAAAUCCUGAUGCAUCUAUUGCAUGCCCUGGACUAUUCCCCCCCCCCCCCCCCUCACUGAUGUAUAUCUGGAUACUCCAGACCUCUUGAAUAUAAAAACUCAUCACAGCACUCUGGAACACAGGUUGAUACCUCAGCUGAUACACACCAGUCAGACAAUUCAGGAGCUUUCACCAGUUCAAACAUUUUCUGAAUCAGGAACUUUCAGUUGGGUCCAAGUACGGUAACAGCACAGGGUUGCCAGCAGCCCAAGUUCUAACCCAGAAAUAGAUAAAGCUUUGAAUUGACACAACUUCUAAUCCCUUAGUUAACAUGAGUUAUAGGAAUCAACACUGAAUUAUAGGAAACAACACAAUGAUUUCUAUUUGCACACACGUUCUGCUCCAAUGCCAUAAAUCAUAACCACAACCUCCACUGGGCUUUCUACAGGCACAGAAAUAGGCAAAAAUCAUUCAUCUUUCAUUAAACACAAGAGAAGUUUCUGGCUUUUAUGAUGAUAACACAAAGCCUGCAAAUACAAUCUGUAUGUAUUCUACAGGCUCAGAAUGAGCCUCGUUAUCAGUGUAUCAUUAGCUACAGAUUGUCCCCUUGUCAAUAGGAUGUGAGAUGUUUCUGAAGAGCCCCGAAGUGAUGUGUGCCACACAUGUGAAUUGCUCCAUACACCCAACCCAGCACAACGUGCCACCUGACCGCGUUAAGCUCGCAGAAGAUAGAAAUCAGAAGAGCUUUUUCCAAACCAAACCUCCCUCUGGGUUCUCUCUCCUGACCUCUGGGUGUGAAGGCAUGCGGCUCUCAAAAGGCAUUCUGGAACUUCCAGCCGUCCCUUAUAUCACACAUCUUUUGCUUUCUGCUGUUAUGACACCCAGCCCAUGGGACCCUGUGCUUCUGGGUGAAAUCGGCCACCCCAUUGGAAAGCCAUCAUGCAGUGGCAAUUAUUUCUCUGCGAGCACUAUUCACCCAAUAUCCUGCUUUCUGUUGGAAGAAAUGUUGGCCCGGGUGCCUGACUUCUAACGAAGAACACUUCAUUAUAUCUCAGGGACUGGGAAACCUCAUCUGUAUCUAUUUAUAUAGCACACCUAUGGCUGUGGGAAGAAAAUACCUUUUUUCAAGUCAUGGGUUUUGUUCCAUGACAUGGCAGUUAUCUGCGGCAACAUCAGGUAACAGCACCACCUUCUGCCAACACGUUACCAUCUCUGUAGAAAACCAAUAGAUGCAUUUUCUCUCUGCGAUUUCAGUGGCUUUCUCAAACACUUCUGAUGCAGACAACAAAGUUCAGAGCAAAGCCCUAAGGGCUGUUUUGAAACACCCCAAGCUGUCUUACAGUGAUGAAAUUACUGUCAUGUAACCAACUUCAGAGGUGCAAUGAAUGCCCUGAGCUGGGCAACGCAACAGGGUGAGGCCGGCACUAUGAAACAGCCCUGGGAGGACAGCUGGGCACAUCUGUCUGAGUCUCUACAGGAAACUCACUCCCCAUCUCCGCAGUGUUUUACAUUGGUCCCCAGAGGUGCACAGAAGGGUACGGUACGUCCUACAGCUUUAGAUGAUUUAAGAUGCCUGAAAAUAAUCAUCUUUCUUUUUCUCUAGGUUCUCUUUGUCCUUAGCAGACAAUCUGGGACUGCCUUGCCUUCAGAUGUCCAAAUUUUAGGCAGUUGACUUUCAGAGAGAUGAACAUUACACAAUACACGUAUUUGCUUUUGAGAGCAAAACUGUGUUUUUACCUCAACAAACGCCCUAUUUUCCUGCCAAAUUCUUCCCUCUGUGUGGGACCAACGUGCACAUGGAGCCAAGGAACGCAGGAGAAAUGGUGUCAGCGGACACAGAGGUGAAGAAUAAGGUGCCAAUCAAUAAACCAGUAAUUAGCUCUGUUUGGCAGGCUGGGGGUGUUUGGGUUUUGGUAUUUUGCUGUUGCGUUUUUUUUUUUUCCUGCUGGUUUUGAAAGAAGUUUGCUUAUCUAAGUUUUAUAACCACUUAAAUGAAUCCCAGCUCUGUUCAAUUCAAUGAAAGCUUUUGCGAGACAGCUGUAAUUUUAUGUGCAUGUGUUUCAGUAAAUUAGAGGGUUUAGCCUUAAGGAUUCACUUUAGUGUAAUCUACUAAAAAGAUAAGUAGAGCCAGAUGCAGUGUCUUACAACCGCUGGACAGUUGCAACUGGAGCGACAGCACUGACAGCAACUUUAUGGCUUUCCUCAUAGGGAGCAGAUUUCCUGACUCAAAAAGAGCAGUAUUUUACAUAAAUAGUUGUCAAUAUUUUGUAUUUACGAUGCAAAGAAAGAAGGGUGCAAAUAGUGAAAAAAUGAAAUAAAAUUAGCCCAAACAACUGAUAA
ensembl:lncRNA